rfam:Gossypium raimondii Chr05_contig_16, whole genome shotgun sequence.
CAUUAAAAAUUUCAUCUAUUUAUAUAUUGUUAAAAAAUGUUGUGGCUGACAGAAUAACCAGAUAGUGACACCAGUGUGCCACAUGUACCUCAUGUUGAUGUACAAAUAUCAAUUUUUAACAAUAAAAAUAGAUGAAAUUUUUAACA